rnacentral:rRNA from 1 species
UUUCAGAUUUUGUUUCCAAGAAAAGCUUCUGAAGCUUGAUUUAUCAAGCAAUGAUAAUAGUACCUGUACCGAGAACGAACACACGUGGUCAAAGGAGAAUAUCCUCAGGCAAGCGAGAAAACUAUGGUUAAGGAACUCGGCAAAUUAGCCCCGUAAGUUCGCGAGAAGGGGUGCCUAUGAAAACAUAGGCCGCAGUGAAGAGGCACGAACGACUGUUUACCAAAAACACAGCUCUCUGCUAAGGAGUAAUCCGAUGUAUAGGGGGCGACGCCUGCCCGGUGCUGGAAGGUUAAGAGGAGGGGUUAGCCGCAAGGUGAAGCUCUGAAUUGAAGCCCCAGUGAACGGCGGCCGUAACUAUAACGGUCCAAAGGUAGCGAAAUUCCUUGUCAGGUAAGUUCUGACCCGCAUGAAAGGCGUAACGAUUCGUGCACUGUCUCAACCAUAGACUCGGUGAAAUCUUAGUACCGGUGAAGAUGCCGGUUACCCGCAACUAGACGGAAAGACCCCGUGGAGCUUUACUGCAACUUGAUAUUGGGUUUUUCUCUGGUUUGUACAGGAUAGGUGGGAGACUGUGAGGCUUGGACGCCAGUUCGAGCGGAGUCGUCGGUGGGAUACCAACCCUAACUAGCGGAGAAUUCUAACUUAUUGGUUUACAGCCAAAAGGACAGUGUUUGGUGGGUAGUUUGACUGGGGCGGUCGCCUCCUAAAAAGUAACGGAGGUGUUCAUAAGGUAUCCUCAGUAGGUAUAGAAAUCCUACAUAGAGCGUAAAGGUACAAGGAUGCUUAACUGUGAGACCGACAAGUCGAACAGAUACGAAAGUAGGACUUAGUGAUCCGGCGGUUACCUAGUGGUAGGGCCGUCGCUAAACGGACAAAAGUUACCCCGGGGAUAACAGGCUAAUACUUCCCAAGAGAUCACAUCGACGGAAGUGUUUGGCACCUCGAUGUCGACUCAUCGCAUCCUGGAGGUGAAGAAGCUUCCAAGGGUUGGGCUGUUCGCCCAUUAAAGCGGUACGUGAGUUGGGUUCAGAACGUCGUGAGACAGUUUGGUCCCUAUCUGUUGUGGGCGUAGGAAAUUUGCGAAGAUCUGCUCUUAGUACGCAAGGACCAGAGUGGACUGACCAAUGGUGUACCAGUUGUCCUGUCAAGGGCACGGCUGGAUAGCCACGUCGGGAUUAGAUAAGCACUGAAAGCAUAUAAGUGCGAAACUAACUUCAAGAUAAGAUUUCCCAUCCGUAAGGAGUAAGAUACCUUCUAGACUAGGAGGUUGAUAGGUGGCAAAUGUA